GGUCUGUUUCUUUCUUCAAUCUUUCCAAGUGCCCACCUCUUGCUCUCUUUCUCCUUGUCCUUAGUUGAGGAUGAAUCAGCACGUUGUCUCCACAUGCUUCGAGGUAUCAUCUUCACUUCCAUUCUCGGAGAUGAAGAAGUGUUGAAAGGGUGUGCCUUUGCUGUGGGAAGGCGAAGGUAGAUACUUAUGGGACUUUUCUUCACAACCGGAACUAUUCUCUCACUCAUUGUCGGCAGCCGGUGGAUGGAUGAAUAGUACAUAUUACGCGCUUUCUGACAAAGCUGCCCGUAAUUUCCGCAAAGCUGCCAGUUGCAUGUGACGAGUGACAACACGUCUGGACAAAUUGAUCUUUUGAAAUCCGGGGUUCGGCUCGUGGUUUCUGAGCAAGCCCAGCCUUUAAG
rnacentral:lncRNA from 1 species